rnacentral:rRNA from 1 species
GGCGCACGGGUGAGUAACGCGUGGGAACCUACCCAGCGGUACGGAAUAACCACGGGAAACUGUGGCUAAUACCGUAUACGUCCUUCGGGAGAAAGAUUUAUCGCCGUUGGAGGGGCCCGCGUCGGAUUAGGUAGUUGGUGGGGUAAAGGCCCACCAAGCCGACGAUCCGUAGCUGGUCUGAGAGGAUGAUCAGCCACACUGGGACUGAGACACGGCCCAGACUCCUACGGGAGGCAGCAGUGGGGAAUAUUGGACAAUGGGCGAAAGCCUGAUCCAGCAAUGCCGCGUGAGUGAAGAAGGCCUUAGGGUUGUAAAGCUCUUUCACCGGGGAAGAUAAUGACGGUACCCGGAGAAGAAGCCCCGGCUAACUCCGUGCCAGCAGCCGCGGUAAUACGGAGGGGGCUAGCGUUGUUCGGAAUUACUGGGCGUAAAGCGCGCGUAGGCGGCCUGUCAAGUUGGGCGUGAAAGCCCGGGGCUCAACCCCGGAAUUGCGUUCAAAACUGGCAAGCUAGAGACCGAGAGAGGUGAGUGGAAUUCCCAGUGUAGAGGUGAAAUUCGUAGAUAUUGGGAAGAACACCAGUGGCGAAGGCGGCUCACUGGCUCGGUA